rnacentral:rRNA from 1 species
UACAGAGGGGGCAAGCGUUGUUCGGAAUUACUGGGCGUAAAGCGCACGUAGGCGGCUUUGUAAGUUAGAGGUGAAAGCCUGGAGCUCAACUCCAGAAUUGCCUUUAAGACUGCAUCGCUUGAAUCCAGGAGAGGUGAGUGGAAUUCCGAGUGUAGAGGUGAAAUUCGUAGAUAUUCGGAAGAACACCAGUGGCGAAGGCGGCUACUGGAC